AGUGAAAUGUCUCAACAACUAUUGGAUGGAUUGCCAUGACAUUUGGUACAAACAUUCAUGUCGCUCAGGAUGAAUUGUCAUCACUUUGGUGAUCCUGUGACUUUGAUGUAGCGAAACAAUGAGAUAGGUGGUUGAAAGUACCACAACUAGACUACCCAGCACCCGGAGUCCUCUCCUCCGCCUUGGGAAGGCUUGGCGAGUAAACAGUGUCUUUGCUGAUUACAACGUCUCUCUCUCUCUGCAGCCCAAGCUUCACAGACACAGUACUCACCGCCCCCUCCAGAGGCAAUGACGUGUCUGUCAGGAUGCCAUGAAGACAAUGAAGUCAAAACUUAAAAUCACAGGAGUUGGCAACACCGAGGGGACAGAUAUAGAAGGCAGCAUGGAUUUUAUCA